rnacentral:rRNA from 1 species
GAUGAACGUUGGCGGCGUGCCUAACACAUGCAAGUCGAACGAUAGUCGCAAGACUAUAGUGGCGCACGGGUGAGUAACACGUAGCUUACCAGCCUCUCAGCGCGGGAUAACGGCUCGAAAGAGGUGCUAAUACCGCAUAAGCUCACGGGAUGUAGAGACUAGUGAGAAAAGGUGCAAAUCACUGAGAGACGGGGCUGCGGCCCAUCAGCUAGNGGUGCGGUAACGGCGCACCAAGGCGACGACGGGUAGGGACCUGGA